CAGAGCUUUCACAUGUCUCUCUCCCUGCAGAGCCGAUUCAGACACAGCAGUGGCAGGAGGAAACCCAAAUCGAGGCUCCCAAUGGCACGGGCUCCAGCUUCCACGCUGAGGCUUUAUCUGUUCCUGUUAUAGCACCAGGAUUGCAUUCCCAGUUGGUUUCUCUCAGCCCAGUUCGUUCUUGGGUCAGCAGGGCAUAUCUCCUCUCUUGCUUAGGAUUCCUCACUCUCACCAUUCCUGGAUUCUAAGCUGGGACUUUUAGAGAGCCUCGGUAGCUGCUGCUAUCUGUCUGCCAUGUUCUCCCGGAAGUCGUGAUGUGACUUUUAUGUCUUUCAGCAAUUUGAGAUCAAUCACUUCUGCUCAAAUAAGGCCUCACGUCCGCCAAGUAAGGUGACCGGGCUCGGCCGCGGCUCCCAACAGGAAACAACCAAAAUGCCCAAUAACUGCAGAGGAGAUGAAAAAGAUGUGGUAUUUUUAUAUAAUGGAAUAUUACUCAACUAUAAAAUGGAUGAUCUUGAAGCUUUUAUAGGAGACUUCAUUUAUUGAUGUUGAGAUGCCAAGACCUCAGCACAUCUGACAUCUAAAGGUCAGAGUUUAUCUUUUCCAUUACAGAAGCAUGAAGAACUUUUUUGGGGUCAGGAAAUAAUUCUGUAUUUUAUGUGUUUGUUAUAUAAACAUAUACUCAAAUAAGUGACAAAAAUUUUGCAUUUGAUCAUGUAACACCUGACUAAUUUAUUAUAAGUAAAUUACAUA